rnacentral:tRNA from 1 species
GCCUGAGUGGCUCAGUCGGUUAAGCAUCUGACUUUCGCUCGGGUCACGAUCUCGUAGUUCGUGGGUUCGAGCCCCACAACGGGCU